rnacentral:rRNA from 1 species
UUAUUAAUACCCCCAAAAACAUUUAAUAUCUAAUUAAACAAACCAUUUUCCCCCCUAAGUAUGGGCGACAGAAAAGAAACAUUCAGAGCCAUAGAAAAAGUACCGCAAGGGAAUGCUGAAAAAGAAGUGAAACAACCCAGUAAAGUUUAAAAAAGCAGAGACUUACACUCGUACCUUUUGCAUCAUGAUUUAGCCAGUAAAAACAAGCAAAGGGUACUUUAGUUUGUCUCCCCGAAACUAAGUGAGCUACUCCAAGACAGCCUAAAAUAGGGCUAACCCGUCUCUGUGGCAAAAGAGUGGGGUGAGCUUAGAGUAGAGGUGAUAAACCUACCGAACUUAGUUAUAGCUGGUUGCCUGAGAAAUGAAUAGAAGUUCAGCUUUUUGGUUUCUCCCCUCAACUCGCUUAACUACAACCGAACCAAAGAAACCAAAAAAGUUAGUUAAAGGGGGUACAGCUCCUUUAAACAAGAUACAACUUCACCAGCCGGGUAAAGAUCACAUAUAAUCAAGGUAAAAUGUCCUAGUGGGCCUAAAAGCAGCCACCUAUAAAAAGCGUCAAAGCUUCUUCAUACCACCACCCUCAAAUUCAGAUAAUACACCCUAAACCCACUAAUUUUACCAAGCCGCCCCAUGCUGUCAUGGGGGUGAUUAUGCUAAAAUGAGUAAUAAGAAAAGUCACCUUUUCUCCUUGCAUUCGUGUAAAUCGAAACGGACCUCCCAUCGAACAUUAAUCGGCCCCAAAAAAAGAGGGCAAUGAACUAUCAAACCCUAUACAAGAAAAGCACCCAAAUAUCAACCGUUAACCUCACACUAACAUGCUUACAAGGAAAGACUAAAAGAAAAAGAAGGAACUCGGCAAAUACAAGCCUCGCCUGUUUACCAAAAACAUCGCCUCUUGAAAACUAAACAUAAGAGGUCC